GACGAACGCUGGCGGCGUGCUUAACACAUGCAAGUCGAACGGAAAGGCCCUGCUUUUGUGGGGUGCUCGAGUGGCGAACGGGUGAGUAACACGUGAGUAACCUGCCCGUGACUUUGGGAUAACUUCAGGAAACUGGGGCUAAUACCGGCUAGGAGCGCCUGCUGCAUGGUGGGGGUUGGAAAGUUACGGCGGUUGGGGAUGGACUCGCGGCUUCUCAGCUUGUUGGUGGGGUAGUGGCUUACCAAGGCGUUGACGGGUAGCCGGCCUGAGAGGGUGACCGGCCACAUUGGGACUGAGAUACGGCCCAGGCUCCUACGGGCGGCAGCAGUGGGAGAUAUUGCACGAUGGGCGGAGGCCUGAUGCAGCGACGCCGCGUGCUGGAUGUCGGCCUUCGGGUUGUAAACCGCUUUCGCCUGUGACGAAGCGUGAGUGACGGUAAUGGGUAAAGAAGCACCGGCUAACUACGUG
rnacentral:rRNA from 1 species